UGUAUAAAAAUCUGUAUUAUUAUUUUAGUUAAUAUAUAUGUGCUUAUGUAAGGAGGUGGCAUCUAUCCAUUGGUUAUUAUGUUUUGGGGCCACUCUUAUUCUUUAUAUAUACUAGGUGUUUCUCUCAAAUGGGUGAACAAGUGAAUGGCUCAAAUUCUUUCUUCUCUUUUUUGCAUAGUAUUCUUCUUUCUACUUCUUCCUUGUAUUCAAGAAUUUACUGCAAGACUAUCUUGUUUUUCAUGGUAUCAGAGAGGGUCUGACAGAUUGUUGUCAAAGGCAAACUCGGCUACAUCGCAGCUAGAUGCUGAUUAGGCUGGAGAUCCAAUCUCUAGAAAGUCUACAUCUGGCUAUUGCUCAUUUUUGAGAGACACAAUCAUAUUCUGGACGGU